GACGGAGGAUGCAAGCGUUAUCCGGAAUGAUUGGGCGUAAAGCGUCCGCAGGUGGCAGUUCAAGUCUGCUGUCAAAGACCGGGGCUUAACUUCGGAAAGGCAGUGGAAACUGAACAGCUAGAGUAUGGUAGGGGCAGAGGGAAUUCCUGGUGUAGCGGUGAAAUGCGUAGAGAUCAGGAAGAACAUCGGUGGCGAAGGCGCUCUGCUGGACCAUAACUGACACUCAGGGACGAAAAGCUAGGGGAGCGAAUGGGA
rnacentral:rRNA from 1 species